rnacentral:rRNA from 1 species
UACAGAGGGGGCAAGCGUUAUUCGGAAUUAUUGGGCGUAAAGGGCGCGUAGGCGGCUUUGCAAGUGGCGGGUGAAAUCCCUCGGCUUAACCGAGGAACUGCCUGCCAGACUGUAAGGCUUGAGACCGGGAGAGGUGAGUGGAAUUCCCAGUGUAGCGGUGAAAUGCGUAGAUAUUGGGAGGAACAUCGGUGGCGAAGGCGGCUACCUGGACGGGUACUGACGCUGAGGCGCGAAAGCUAGGGGAGCAAACAGG